UACUCGAGGGAAUUGUGAAUAGCUAAUGUAGGGCUAUUGUCAGUAACUUAAGACAGUGAUCUUUGUUGUCAUAGAAUUGGGGCAGUUUUGAAACUUAAAAAUAAUUAAAUUACGCAAAAAUUAUAGACAGAAAGAAGUAUUUGCGCCAAGAAUUGGAAUCGUACUUGGGACUGAAAAGUUGAUGUGUAGGCUGGACACACGCCUUUAAUCCCAGCCCUUGGGAGGUAGAGGCAGGAGAAUAUCAGUGAGUUGGAGGCCAGCCUGGUCUACAAAGCGAGUUACAGGACAGAGAAACCCUGUCUCGAAAAACAAAAUAAAAACCAAACCAAAAUCAAAACAAAGAAAGGAAAAAGAAAAGAAAACUGCUGUUCUUGCAAGUUCAGUUCCAUCACUCACAAUGGGGUGGCUCACAGCUCCCUGUAACUCCAAUUCCAGGGGAUCCCUCACCCUCUUCCGGCAUCCAGGGCACCUGCAAGUACGUGGUAUGUAAACGCACGCAUGUACACAUAAAUAAAAUUCUUAGAAAUUUAACAAAGUCAGUGAGGACACUGAAAAUGGACAGAGUCCAAGUGACACUGAGGAGGGUCACCCACUCUUGGGACCCUGGCCAGGUGUGUUUAAGUAUUAUCGUUAAUUAGUGUUAUUAGCGUUAAAAACACUGAGUGAAAAGUUCUUUAAGUUCUUAAUGCCCGUACUCCUUAUAUUCUUUUUGCUAAGUAAGGAGAGGGUUGGGGAGAGGAAAUCUGACUCCCUGAUUAGCAGCUAACCAGGCUCUGCCUUGGUGCCCUGGCUACUCUGAACCAAUGGGCUGUUAGUCAAACAGCCAGAUUCACUAGGUAUUUUGAAUACUCCGCAGACACCUUGAGAAAACAGUACACAAUCACAGCCGGUUGCCUUGGUUGUUUGAAACACUUUGUACCAAACUUUUGGCUUUUACCUCAAUGAACUCCGGAUGACCCUGCAAUUAUUUCUAACUCAGGCCAGAGGGGGCUCAUUUUCCCCGAGGGUCUAGCAGAGGGACUGUUGUAAGAUGGGCGUUAAAGAGGUAAGGUGGUUGGUGCCAACACAAACCUUCUGAUUAUCCUAACCUCCUUCGUUAUUUCUAUGCUCCAAGCCUGCUCAUUGAGUUGACUCAUAGAGACUCCCCUGUGCUGCCCACCGGAUGUGGUAACAUUAGGCUCAACCAAAGUCUUCGCUUGAGUGGUCUUUUCUUGCGGGCUUUAGCGGUAAAGGAAGGAAGCUAAAUGUACUCUCAAGGGGCUGGAGAUGCGAACUGGUAACACACAGAGAAAAACGGCAGAAACAGCAGAGCUGUGGACCGACAGUGGCAGCCACAGCCUAGAUCUCACCACUGACAGCUGAGCAAUUGGUAUCGGGCAGCCGAAUACUUUGUCAGCAGUCGGAGGCCGGAGAAGAGUGACAUGAGCAGAGAGCUGGCAAGGAGAGGAGAGCUGAGGGACAUCGCAGAGACACUACGGUGCUGGCUGCCAGAGAGCUGUCCCUUGUUCAGGGCCAACGGUCUCAGAUGCCCCAGGCUUUAAGAGUGGCUGGUGUAAGCCCUAAGGAACCCUGGCUUCUGAGGUCUACAGUGGAGCUAUACGGCCACUGAUGCUGUCAGCUGCUGAGGUGUCCCAGCAUGGAGGCUCACCUGGAAGUUGCCCAGCCAGCUGCAGCCAAAGGCGGUCCUGAUGUCCUAGGACACAAGAGCUGUGACUUGCAGAGAUCACAAUGUAGGACUAUGAGCACCAGCACCAUGUCUGCCUGCACACUGCCAUGCUUCUCGCCAUGACGAUAAUGGACUAAACCUCUGAAACUGUAAGCCAGCCUGAGUUAAAUGUUUUCAUUUCUAAGAGUUGCUGUGGUCAUGGUGUCUCUUCACAGCAAUAGAAAUCCUAACUAGGACACCUGGUAUUGCCCUCUCUCAUGCUCAGACCCUGUGUCUGGGCUGGGCUUCUGGAGUCGGCCCCCUUCCUCAUCCUUCAGUCCUGGUCCAGGCUCUUCCUGGCUGGGACCACUAAUGCUGAGCAGGUCAAACGACCCCAAUUUUCUCGUCACUGUAUCCCACCAUCCUCUUUGUCUCUGGAACCCCCAACUCAGGCAUCUGGUGUCGCCCAUCAGUUUGCUUAGUGGUGAUGGGGUGUCUUGCUCGGUGUAGACAGCUCAGUGAUCCCCAAGGACUCUCACGAGGCAGGAGACCCCUCAGAAGAUACAGUAGACUUCCAUUCUCUCCACUCUGCUUGCCAAAAAUAAAGCCCCAAACCUUUGUUUGUACACUAGCAGCUACACAGGUCCACUAAAGGAAACUUAAAUGCAUAAUUGAGAGGACAGAAGGCAGCCAUUGUGCUACCACACCCAGGUCACCUGGGUCGGUCUGGUGUGUUCCUUUAAGCAGUCUCCGUCCAGCUGUGUAAUAAACAGUUAUAGUAACCAUGCUAUGUAGUAGCACAGCCCUCCCUCGGUUUUUCUUUUUUGAGACAGAUCUCAUUAUACAGUCCAGGGUAGCUUUAUACUCUCAGUUUAACUGACUCAGUGUAGAAGCACAGGCACAUACUAACACACCCAGUCUCUCUCUCUCUCUCUCUCUCUCUCUCUCUCUCUCUCUCUCUCUCUCUCUCUCUCUUUGGUGUGUUUUGUAGGCCAGAGGGCAACAUGUUUUGUGUUCUUUCUCAGUCCCUCUCCACUGUGUGUUUUUGAGACCUCGAAGCUAGCUCUCUGGUUGAGCUGGACUGGCUGCUUAGGAAGCCCCAGGGACCCUCCUGUCCCCGACCCCCCAGCACUGGGAUUACAGGCAUCACUGUCAUGCGGGGACUUUUCACAUGGAUGCCACGGUCCAGAUCCAGGUCCUCAUGCUUGUGUGGCAAGCACUUUUCCCACCAGGCCAUCACCCCAGCCUGAUUUUCUGCUUCUAACUGAAGUAUCAAAUUAUAAAUAGUUCCUCCAUGCUAUUGGCUAUAUUUUGAAAACAAUUUCUUGCCAGUACUGUCUCACUGCAUGAAAAGUGAAAGUUGUCAAAACCAAAAUGGAAUCUUUGUGUCAUAUGUAACAAAAGGAAGGUAAAUAAAGGAGACAUCAUAGGCA